ensembl:snRNA U6 U6 spliceosomal RNA
GUGCUUGCUUUGGCAGCACUUGUACUAAAAUUGGAAUGAUACAGAGAAGAUUGGCAUGGCCGCUGUGCAAGGGUGUUUUUACAAAGUCCCAUGAUCUUU